rnacentral:lncRNA from 1 species
CAUUAUUCGUGACUUCUUCAAAGGAUCGUUAUUGGGCUUCACAAUUAAUGUGAUUGGCACCACUCAACCUUUGAAGAGAAAUUUCCCCCAAUACCCCUAGGUCUAGGGUUUGCAUUCAUGUAGUGCAUCCAAAUGUAAUAAAUUCUUUGGUUAAAAUAAGAAAAUCUUUGAUUAAAUCAUGCAACUAGCCUUGGCUAGGUCAAAGGGGUGCCUUGGAUUUUAUCCUUGCCUUCCCCUUUGUCAAAUGUGACUCCCGAACCUUUUUCUUUGGUUUACGUGGACUAGGAGUCGUUUAAAAGGGGUUUCUUACUACUUUUUCCUAUUUUUUCUUUAAAAAUUCAUUUUUUGGUGACUU